GUGGGGAAUCUUGCACAAUGGGCGAAAGCCUGAUGCAGCCAUGCCGCGUGAAUGAUGAAGGCCUUAGGGUUGUAAAAUUCUUUCGUCAGGGAUGAUAAUGACCGUACCUGAAGAAGAAGCCCCGGCUAACUUCGUGCCAGCAGCCGCGGUAAUACGAAGGGGGCUAGCGUUGCUCGGAAUUACUGGGCGUAAAGGGCGCGUAGGCGGACAGCUUAGUCAGAGGUGAAAGCCCAGGGCUCAACCUUGGAAUUGCCUUUGAUACUGGCUGUCUUGAGUUUGGGAGAGGUGAGUGGAACUCCGAGUGUAGAGGUGAAAUUCGUAGAUAUUCGGAAGAACACCAGUGGCGAAGGCGACUCACUGGCCCAAUACUGACGCUGAGGCGCGAAAGCGUGGGGAGCAAACAGGAUUAGAAACCCUUGUAGUCC
rnacentral:rRNA from 1 species